CCGGUACCACGCAUGCGCGGGAGACGUCACUUCUGCUAAAACGGUUUGUUUACGAUGGUUGCUGUUUUUUCUUUUUCUGUGACAGACCAUGGCCUCAGAAAGACGCAUCCGCUGAAUUUGGACAGCCAUAGCAUAGGUGAAGUUUCUAGAAGAAAAGUUCCAGAACAGUUUCUGCCAGAAUAACAGAGGGCAUCUCUACGAGGAAGUACAACGGAGACUAAAGUCCUUUGGAGGAGCCUUUUUUCCUGGAUCUGCUGCAUCAGCCUGACUGGUUGUUGAGGAGAGGAGCCGUGAUUCGUGCCUGAAGUGUCGGGCUGAUGAGCUGCAGAACAACAUCCAGAAGGAGCAUCAAGCAUUCUGUCAACUCCAAACACCAAGUUAAUAUUCAAUCAAAACUGUGGUUUAAAGUGUU